GAUGAACGCUGGCGGCGUGCCUAAUACAUGCAAGUCGAGCGAACGGACGAGAAGCUUGCUUCUCUGAUGUUAGCGGCGGACGGGUGAGUAACACGUGGAUAACCUACCUAUAAGACUGGGAUAACUUCGGGAAACCGGAGCUAAUACCGGAUAAUAUUUUGAACCGCAUGGUUCAAAAGUGAAAGACGGUCUUGCUGUCACUUAUAGAUGGAUCCGCGCUGCAUUAGCUAGUUGGUAAGGUAACGGCUUACCAAGGCAACGAUGCAUAGCCGACCUGAGAGGGUGAUCGGCCACACUGGAGCUGAUACACGGUCCAGACUCCUACGGGAGGCAGCAGUAGGGAAUCUUCCGCAAUGGGCGAAAGCCUGACGGAGCAACGCCGCGUGAGUGAUGAAGGUCUUCGGAUCGUAAAACUCUGUUAUUAGGGAAGAACAUAUGUGUAAGUAACUGUGCACAUCUUGACGGUACCUAAUCAGAAAGCCACGGCUAGCUACGUG
rnacentral:rRNA from 1 species